rnacentral:lncRNA from 1 species
AUUAAGAAAGUAAAGAUGUUUUAUAUUACCAAACACCACUGUACUGGUGGAGACAGGUGAAGCUGUGGUUUCCAGAAGACAUUUGUUUCUCUUUUGAGGAUUCUGAUGGCAGGUGCAAUGACCUGGCCUCGGAAUGGAUGCCUCACCUCAGGCCUGUCCAGGCUCCUUGUGGGACGCAGCCUCUGUGAGUUACCCAUGGCUCCUCACACGACCGCUCUGGCUAGAGGGCUUCCCUCUGCAGGGAACACAGUUCAGGCCCCUAGGGUUGCUGGUCACUACUUUCCUUCUGGCGCCUUGCCUCUUGGGAAGCACCACCUGAUAAGCAGCUUAAAGAAACCCACAUUAAUGGCGCCAAGCUAGGCUCUGUGGAAGGAGUACUCCAUAGUCACAUGCUUAUGCUUUCAACGUGGGAAGCAUGGAAGUUGCAAAGAGCAUUUGUAGUAAUGCGUGAACUUGUUUUUAAAUGUAACGCAGUUGAUUCUUGUUAUUCAUGGGAGUUAUGUGCUGUGAACUCACUGUAAACGCUGCAUUAAGGAAUACUGAACCAUUACUUCUAGGGGAAAUUUGGGGUUUAGUUUCUGCCAGCUUCUGGUCAACAUUUGUGUUAACUGAUCAAUACAUAACCUUGUUUUAUGUGUGUUUUUGUUUGAAUGCCUUGUUUAAUAUGUAAUUGAUUCGUUAACAUUGAACUCACGGUGGACAACACUAUAACUCAUGCCUGAACUAGGUUAUCCAACACAUGUAUUUUCUCUGUAAGGUACCUCACAGCCUUCUUGCCCUUAUGAACAGUGGGCAGCACUUUAGCACUAUGCUUAGGGGCCAUUUUAAAUAGUAAAAUCACCAAGAAAAAGCACCAAAAUGUGAAAAACAUGAUACUAAGUAGACUGUGAAAAGGACACUUGUUUUUACUAUAAGAGCUGAAACAAGAAGGAAGAGUGUCUCACCUCGUUCGACCUCAGCUGGGAAUGUGGACAUCAGGUGACUCAAAAUUUUCGCUGCUCCUCAUAUUCGCAAAUAACCUUGAAAGCGCUGUGAGUAUUGCUUUUGGGGUUACAAAUAAAUUGAGCAAGUAAGGGAAUUUGCA